UACGGAAGGCAGCAGUGGGGAAUAUUGCACAAUGGGCGAAAGCCUGAUGCAGCUAUGCCGCGUGUAUGAAGAAGGCCUUAGGGUUGUAAAGUACUUUCAUCGGGGAGGAAAAAACAAAACUAAUAAUUUUAUUUCUUGACGUUACCCGAAAAAGAAGCACCGGCUAACUCCGUGCCAGCAGCCGCGGUAAUACGGAGGGUGCUAGCGUUAAUCAGAAUUACUGGGCGUAAAGAGCACGUAGGUGGUUUUUUUAAAGUCAGAUGUGAAAUCCCUGGGCUUAACCUAGGAACUGCAUUUUGAAACUGAAAUACUAGAGUAUCGUAGAGGGAGGUAGAAUUUUUAGGUGUAGCGGUGAAAUGCGUAGAUAUCUGGAGGAAUACCUGUGGCGAAAGCGGCCUCCUAAACGAAUACUGACACUGAGGGUGCGAAAGCGUGGGGAGCAAACAGGGAUUAGAUACC
rnacentral:rRNA from 1 species